rnacentral:lncRNA from 1 species
ACCACACACAUUUGUCUCACAUUACUGAGCUUUAUUCUUUCUGAAUGUAUAAAUCAGGGGACUGACUCAAUAUGCAUUCAUUUUGCAGAAUUCUACAAGUUCUGGGUUGCGUGUGAGUUAGUGUGGCCCCCAUCCCUCUAUCCCUAGGAUAUUUGAAUAAAUGUGCCCAUUUUUUUUCAUUUAAAACUUAGCUUGGAAUUUUUAUGUUACCAACACUUCUUCCUGAGAAAGAGGUGUGUCCCCCAGGGACCUAGAAGCAAUCAUUUUUCUGAGGGGCCACAUGCCCGUGCCCAUGAAGAGAGGGCAAGGACAGCAAGGAAUUCCUCAGAGCAAUGUUUUCCCUCAAACAGGCCUCCUGGCGUUGUUAGACUGAGAAGCCAAAUGGGGGCCUCAGCUGCACUGUGAUUUAAGAAUGAUGACUAUAUUUUUAAAAGAAAUCUUUUUCACUUUCACAUUGGAAAUGUUUGCUGCUCUCUUAAAUAAUCUGAUUGCAUCUCAAGGACCUGUACAAUUGUAACAUUUCCAAUUGUACAGUGUAAGCCAAAGUCACAUGUGGCAUAUAUAAAGAAAUUCAUAGUAUAGGCAACUUCCCCAGAAUCCAGCCCCUUGCCACUAUAAAGUGAAGGGCUCCUGUGAAGUGAAGAGGGCGCCGUGCUUGUGUAAGGUCGAUUCGAGAAGUCUUCCUGAAGGAGGUGCCCAGGGAAGGAACAGAAUCCAGGAGUCCAGAUCCAGAGACGAGGCUCUAAGGAGCUGGGAGGAGCUGAGUUCAGCCUUCUACUGGUCCCCCGGCCCCCUGACUGUCUCUUCCUGUGGUCGGCCAGUCGGUCCAUCCUCGUCGGUGACACCGUCCAUUCAGCUGGCGUCCCCAAUCUAUCGGUCGGCACCUCGGCGAUUGCUGGUCGGGGUGGCCAGGGGUCCCGGCGCGAAGGUCAGCGCUGAGAGGAGGCGGGGCCGCGGGGCGGACUCCGGCGGAAGGGUGAGUCGGGCUCGGGACCGUGGCCCCGUCGCAGGCGCCCAGCGCCCCAGGGCACGCAGCCGCCCAGACCUAGCGCGGAGGCGAGCACGGCGGCGGGCGGGUGCGGCGGCCGCGGCGUGAGCCCUUCUUAAGGCGCACCCGUCGCCGCCAGAUAGAGCUCGCCUGCGCCACCCGCCCCCCAGGCGGCCCAGCUCUCUGCACGGUGCCCAGGCGCAGCUCGGCCGCCAGAAAGACCCGUGCAGCGCAGCACUCGGCUCUCCAGCUCUGAUACCAGGCGACGGCGGCCCUCCACCUCCAGCAGUCCCGCCGCGCUUCGGCCAGCUCUAGCGCGCGGCCCCCGGCCCCGCCGCCGCAGCGCGCCGCGCCCGGGCCGCCGCCCGCCGCCCCCUGCUAGCCCAGUGCUCCCCGCGGCCCCACUAGCGCCCUGGUGCCAGCGCUGCAGCUCCUGCCCCUUGGCCGAGCUUGCCGACCCCAGGGCUGCUUCGGGCAGCGGUGAGGCCUGAGCUGGGGUCGAGGCCAAUGUCGGGGUUGGGGGCGGGGGCUGAGGGGACGACAGGGGCUCCCGGGGAGGCGGCGGCGGGGAACCCGGUUCCGCCGUCCCUUCCUGGGCCCCCGGGCCGCAGGCGCUGAUCCGGCAGCCCGGCAUCCCCCGCCCCCUGGCGGUCUGCAGCGGUCGGUCCGCGGGUCUGGCUGGCUGUCCCCCACGCUGUGGGUGGAUAGACGCUGCGGACCGGAGAGAGAUGUGGCCAGAGAAAGAUGCGGCCGCAGACCCCACGCCACCGCCGCGCCCGCCUCCUGUGCGUCUUAUAAAACACGGGGCGG